rnacentral:rRNA from 1 species
UACAGAGGGUGCGAGCGUUAAUCGGAAUUACUGGGCGUAAAGCGCGCGUAGGUGGUUUGUUAAGUUGGAUGUGAAAUCCCCGGGCUCAACCUGGGAACUGCAUCCAAAACUGGCAAGCUAGAGUAUGGUAGAGGGUGGUGGAAUUUCCUGUGUAGCGGUGAAAUGCGUAGAUAUUCGGAGGAACACCGGCGGCGAAGGCGGCCACCUGGUCCGGAACUGACGCUCAAGUGCGAAAGCGUGGGGAGCAAACAGG